rnacentral:lncRNA from 1 species
UUUUAGGAAAUUUUUAAACAUUUCCCUUCAUCAAGGAUUAAAAUCUGAAAGCAGAUCUUUUAUGAGCUGGCUUUGCUUGUAUUUGGGCUUGGAGAUCACUUGUCUUUAUUAAGCCCCUCCUUGUUAAGCCAACUAGGUCAGAAUCCUAGCUCCAUAAUAUAAUAGCUCUCCAACCUCGCGCUGGUGCCUUAAAUUCUGAUUCCUUUCUACAAGAACCGCAAUGAAGAUUAAAUGAGAUCUUACAUAAAAGCAUUUUUUAAAUCACUUAAGGCUAACCUUGUCUAAAUCAAUUGUCACUGCUUUAAAUUGCAAAAACCUACCUUUUGCUGAAAGUCAACUUUGGGCUGAUGUAGAAGCCACUUCUAGUCACAAUCCUGUUGACUCUUCUCCGAGGAUUGUGUGUGGCCAAGGAUCUGCUUUCUCCUUCCACUGGGAAUGCUCAUUCUUUAGACUGGGAGGAAAUGAGAUUAUCUUCUCUCCUCCCCUUCAACACAGAGCUGCUCUCCAGCCUUGUACCAUGUCCCCGUGGGGUCGAUGAGUCCUCCAGGAGAUUCUUAAAGGAUGGCUCCUCCGUCUUCCAGUGGCUCCAGGUGCA